rnacentral:rRNA from 1 species
UGAGGAAUAUUGGACAAUGGGCGAGAGCCUGAUCCAGCCAUGCCGCGUGCAGGAAGACUGCCCUAUGGGUUGUAAACUGCUUUUAUACAGGAAGAACCAUCCCGACGUGUCGGGAUCUGACGGUACUGUAAGAAUAAGGACCGGCUAACUCCGUGCCAGCAGCCGCGGUAAUACGGAGGGUCCAAGCGUUAUCCGGAAUCAUUGGGUUUAAAGGGUCCGCAGGCGGUCAAUUAAGUCAGAGGUGAAAUCCCAUAGCUUAACUAUGGAACUGCCUUUGAUACUGGUUGACUUGAGUCAUAUGGAAGUAGAUAGAAUGUGUAGUGUAGCGGUGAAAUGCAUAGAUAUUACACAGAAUACCGAUUGCGAAGGCAGUSUACUACGUAUUGACUGACGCUCAUGGACGAAAGCGUGGGGAGCGAACAGGAUUAGAUACCCUGGUAGUCCACGCCGUAAACGAUGGACACUAGUUGUUGGGCAUUAGCUCAGUGGACUAAAGC